rnacentral:rRNA from 1 species
GUGCCAGCCGCCGCGGUAAUACGGAGGGUGCAAGCGUUAUCCGGAUUCACUGGGUUUAAAGGGUGCGUAGGCGGCCUGAUAAGUCAGUGGUGAAAGCUCUCAGCUUAACUGGGAAACUGCCAUUGAAACUGUCAGGCUUGAGUACAAUUGAAGUGGGCGGAAUACAUCAUGUAGCGGUGAAAUGCUUAGAUAUGAUGUAGAACACCGAUUGCGAAGGCAGCUCACUAAAUUGUCACUGACGCUGAGGCACGAAAGCGUGGGUAGCGAACAGGAUUAGAUACCCGUGUAGUCC